rnacentral:rRNA from 1 species
CGUAACGCGUAUGCCAACUCGCCCCAUCGAGGGAAUACGCCGACGAAGGCGGAUUAAUCGCCCAUACGGCCCAGGGCGCCGCAUGGCGCUAUGGGUAAAGCUCCGGCGGAUGGGGAUGGGCAUGCGUGCCAUUAGCUAGUUGGGGCGGUAACGGCGCACCAAGGCGACGAUGGCUAGGGGGUCUGAGAGGAUGGUCCCCCACACUGGUACUGAGACACGGACCAGACUCCUACGGGAGGCAGCAGUGAGGAAUAUUGGUCAAUGGGCGGAAGCCUGAACCAGCCAUGCCGCGUGCAGGAUGACGGCCCUACGGGUUGUAAACUGCUUUUCCCCGGGAAGAAUAAGCCCCUCGUGAGGGGUGAUGCCGGUACCGGGGAAUAAGGAUCGGCUAACUCCGUGCCAGCAGCCGC